UGAAGCUUUAGAUUAUUAUCCCUUCUUUGCA
rnacentral:piRNA from 1 species